GAAAUGCGAUAAGUAAUGUGAAUUGCAGAAUUCAGUGAAUCAUCGAAUCUUUGAACGCACAUUGCGCUCUUUGGUAUUCCGGAGAGCAUGCCUGUUUGAGAAUCAGUAAAUUCAUCAACUGCUUAAUUGCAGUUGGAUAUGGGCCUUUUGAGACCUUACGGUCUCAAUGGUCUGAAAUUCAAUGUUACGCUUCCUUGAACCCAACGGUUCUUGAGCAUACGCAUGAAUGAGGUAACUCACAAGUACGUUUGUUCUCAUGAAUGGUGGGUUGGACCGGGGUAACUCAACUAUUACUCAGCGGAGGCGACGUCAGUCAUCAGCCUUCUCUGAACACUUGGUCUCAAAUCAGGUAGGAAAACCCGCUGAACUUAA
rnacentral:misc_RNA from 1 species